rnacentral:rRNA from 1 species
AUUCCAGCUCCAAGAGCAUAUGUAAAAGUUGUUGCAGUUAAAAAGCUCGUAGUUGAACCUUGGGUUUGGUUGGCCGGUCCGCUUUUUUGCGAGUACUGGAUUCAACCGAGCCUUUCCUUCUGGCUAACCAGUCGUUUCGGCGGCUGGCGAACCAGGAUUUUUACUUUGAGAAAAUUAGAGUGUUCAAAGCAGGCACUAGCUUGAAUAUAUUAGCAUGGAAUAAUAGAAUAGGACGUUAUGGUUCUAUUUUGUUGGUUUCUAGGACCAUCGUAAUGAUUAAUAGGGACGGUCGGGGGCAUCAGUAUUCAGUUGUCAGAGGUGAAAUUCUUGGAUUUACUGAAGACUAACUACUGCGAAAGCAUUUGCCAAGGACGUUUUCAUCA